rnacentral:rRNA from 1 species
CCUACGGGAGGCUGCAGUGGGGAAUAUUGGACAAUGGGGGGAACCCUGAUCCAGCCAUGCCGCGUGUGUGAAGAAGGCCCUCGGGUUGUAAAGCACUUUCAGUGAGGAAGAACGCCUGGUGGUUAAUACCUAUCAGGAAAGACAUCACUCACAGAAGAAGCACCGGCUAACUCCGUGCCAGCAGCCGCGGUAAUACGGAGGGUGCGAGCGUUAAUCGGAAUUACUGGGCGUAAAGCGCGCGUAGGUGGCUUGAUAAGCCGGUUGUGAAAGCCCCGGGCUCAACCUGGGAACGGCAUCCGGAACUGUCAAGCUAGAGUGCAGGAGAGGAAGGUAGAAUUCCCGGUGUAGCGGUGAAAUGCGUAGAGAUCGGGAGGAAUACCAGUGGCGAAGGCGGCCUUCUGGACUGACACUGACACUGAGGUGCGAAAGCGUGGGUAGCAAACAGGAUUAGAUACCCGGGUAGUC